GACGAACGCUGGCGGCGUGCCUAAUACAUGCAAGUUGAGCGAUGAAGAUUGGUGCUUGCCCCACUUUGAAGAGCAGCGAACGGGUGAGUAACGCGUGGGGAAUCUGCCUUUGAGCGGGGGACAACAUUUGGAAACGAAUGCUAAUACCGCAUAAUAACUUUAACCAUAAGUUUUAAGUUUGAAAGAUGCAAUUGCCUCACUCAAAGAUGAUCCCGCGUUGUAUUAGCUAGUUGGUGAGGUAAAGGCUCACCAAGGCGAUGAUACAUAGCCGACCUGAGAGGGUGAUCGGCCACAUUGGGACUGAGACACGGCCCAACCUCCUACGGGAGGCAGCAGUAGGGAAUCUUCGGCAAUGGACGAAAGUCUGACCGAGCAACGCCGCGUGAGUGAAGAAGGUUUUCGGAUCGUAAAACUCUGUUGGUAGAGAAGAACGUUGGUGAGAGUGGAAAGCUCAUCAAGUGACGGUAACUACCCAGAAAGGGACGGCUAACUACGUG
rnacentral:rRNA from 1 species